rnacentral:rRNA from 1 species
UAAUCGGGGCAGGGUAAGUCGACCCCUAAGGCGAGGCCGAAAGGCGUAGUCGAUGGGAAACGGGUUAAUAUUCCCGUACUUCUUACAAUUGCGAUGGGGGGACGGAGAAGGCUAGGUGGGCCUGGCGACGGUUGUCCAGGUUCAAGUGCGUAGGCUUAAGAGUUAGGUAAAUCCGGCUCUUUUUAAGGCUGAGACACGACGUCGAGCACCUACGGGUGUGAAGUCAUUGAUGCCAUGCUUCCAGGAAAAGCCUCUAAGCUUCAGAUUGUAAGGAAUCGUACCCCAAACCGACACAGGUGGUCGGGUAGAGAAUACCAAGGCGCUUGAGAGAACUCGGGUGAAGGAACUAGGCAAAAUGGUACCGUAACUUCGGGAGAAGGUACGCUCUCGACGGUGAAGUCCCUCGCGGAUGGAGCUAUUGAGAGUCGCAGAUACCAGGUGGCUGCAACUGUUUAUUAAAAACACAGCACUGUGCAA